AUUGAACGCUGGCGGCAUGCCUUACACAUGCAAGUCGAACGGCAGCGGACCUUCGGGUGCCGGCGAGUGGCGAACGGGUGAGUAAUAUAUCGGAACGUACCUUUCAGUGGGGGAUAACGUAGCGAAAGUUACGCUAAUACCGCAUAUUCUGUGAGCAGGAAAGCAGGGGAUCGCAAGACCUUGCGCUGAUUGAGCGGCCGAUAUCAGAUUAGCUAGUUGGUGAGGUAAAGGCUCACCAAGGCGACGAUCUGUAGCGGGUCUGAGAGGAUGAUCCGCCACACUGGAACUGAGACACGGUCCAGACUCCUACGGGAGGCAGCAGUGGGGAAUUUUGGACAAUGGGCGCAAGCCUGAUCCAGCCAUGCCGCGUGAGUGAAGAAGGCCUCGGUUGUAAGCU
rnacentral:rRNA from 1 species